rnacentral:rRNA from 1 species
UACGAGGGGGGCAAGCGUUGUUCGGAAUUAUUGGGCGUAAAGGGUGCGUAGGCGGUUUGGUAAGUCUUAUGUGAAAUCUACAGGCUCAACUUGUAGUCUGCAUGAGGAACUGCCGGGCUUGAGUAUGGGAGAGGUGAGUGGAAUUCCUGGUGUAGCGGUGAAAUGCGUAGAUAUCAGGAGGAACACCUGUGGCGAAAGCGGCUCACUGGACCAUAACUGACGCUGAUGCACGAAAGCUAGGGGAGCAAACAGG